rnacentral:rRNA from 1 species
AGUGAACGCUGGCGGUAGGCCUAACACAUGCAAGUCGAGCGGCAGCACAGUAAGAGCUUGUUCUUACGGGUGGCGAGUGGCGGACGGGGGAGGAAUACAUCGGAAUCUACUUUUUCGAGGGGGAUAACGCAGGGAAACUUACGCUAAUACCGCAUACGACCUACGGGUGAAAGCAGCGGACCUUCGGCCCUUGCGUGAUCCAAUGAGCCGAUGUCGGAUUAGCUAGUUGGCGGGGUAAAGGCCCACCAAGGCGACGAUCCGUAGCUGGUCUGAGAGGAUGAUCAGCCACACUGGAACUGAGACACGGUCCAGACUCCUACGGGAGGCAGCAGUGGGGAAUAUUGGACAAUGGGCGCAAGCCUGAUCCAGCCAUACCGCGUGUGUGAAGAAGGCCUUCGGGUUGUAAAGCCCUUUUGUUGGGGAAGAAAAGCAGCAGGUUAAUACCCCGCUGUUCUGACGGUACCCAAAGAAUAAGCACCGGCUAACUUCGUG